rnacentral:rRNA from 1 species
ACGCACGCUGGCGGCGUGCUUCACCCCUGCCAGUCGCACGGAAAGGCCCUGCUUUUGUGGGGUGCUCGAGUGGCGAACGGGUGAGUAACACGUGAGUAACCUGCCCUUGACUUUGGGAUAACUUCAGGAAACUGGGGCUAAUACCGGAUAGGAGCUCCUGCUGCAUGGUGGGGGUUGGAACGUUUCGGCGGUUGGGGAUGGACUCGCGGCUUAUCCGCUUGUUGGUGGGGUAGUGGCUUACCAAGGCUUUGACGGGUAGCCCGCCUGGGAGGGUGACCGGCCACAUUGGGACUGAGAUACGGCCCAGACUCCUACGGGAGGCAGCAGUGGGGAAUAUUGCACAAUGGGCGGAAGCCUGAUGCAGCAACGCCGCGUGCGGGAUGACGGCCUUCGGGUUGUAAACCGCUUUCGCCUGUGACGAAGCGUGAGUGACGGUAAUGGGUAAAGAAGCACCGGCUAACUACGUG